rnacentral:rRNA from 1 species
GGAGUUUGGUCCGUGUCUCAGUACCAAUGUGGGGGACCUUCCUCUCAGAACCCCUACUGAUCGUCGGCUUGGUGGGCCGUUACCCCGCCAACAACCUAAUCAGACGCAUCCCCAUCCCUUAGCGGUGAACCUUUGCUUUCCAUCAGAUGCCAUCCAGAAAGAACAUAGAGUAUUAAUCCGACUUUCGCCGGGCUAUCCUCUACUAAGGGGAAGGUUGGAUACGCGUUACUCACCCGUGCGCCGGUCGCCGACAAAGAAAGCAAGCUUUCUUCUCGCUGCCCCUCGACUUGCAUGUGUUAAGCCUGUAGCUAGCGUUCAUC